GUCGCUGCAGCAGGAGUUGUAGUAGUAGCAGCAGCAGCAGCAGUAGUAGUAGUAGCAGCAGCAGCAGCAGGAGUAGUAGCAGCAGCAGUAGCAGCAGCAGUAGUAGUAGUAGUAGUUGAAGCAGUAGUAGUAGUUGAAGCAGUAGUAGUAGUAGUAGCAGUAGUAGCAGCAGUUUUAGUAGAAGUAAUAGUAGUAGUAGUAGAAGUAGUAGUAGUAGUAGUAGUAGUAUAAGUAGAAGUAGCAGUAGUAGUAGAAGUAGUAGUAGUAGUAGUAGUAGUAGUAGUAGUAGUAGUAGUAGUAGUAGUAGUAGUAGUAGUAGUAGUAGUAGUAGUAGUAGUUGUUGUUGUUGUUGUGGCUGUUGUAAUAGUAGUAGUAGUUUUGCAGAAGUAGUAGUAGUAGUAGUAGUACUAGUAGUAGAAGUAAUAGUAGUAACUUUCAAAGCAAUGUCUACAAGUUUAAAUUCCUUAACCCUGUUCAAGGUGUAUACACACUCAAUAUUUAACUACAGUCCAGGUUUGCAAUUAACAAACUAUCUGAUAAACCUGUGUGUGAGUCAGAUAUGUCUGCUGCUUAUCUAUUGGUUAUAAAAUAUCACAGCCUUUUCUGAUUGGCUGAGUUCAAAUACAGAAAGUUUACCUGUUAGAUUGAAAUUCUGGAGCAGGCCUAUUGUAAAAUAUGCAGGUUAAACUUGUUGUUAAAAUGAAGUUAAUGUAAUGUUCACAAACAGUAGAGUUAAUGAGUUUUUCCAUUAACAAGAAUUUCUUAAAAUAAUAAUGUAUGGAUAUCAUUUGGAAAGUGACAUGAAAUGUUGUUAAAAAGUGAUGCAUACAAGUGUUUCAGAAGUCUGUCUAGGAAUAGAACAACAACUGAAGCUGACCAGUUGAUGAAAGAUACUGCAGAGUUUGGCAGGGAAAUAACCCAAGACAGCAAAGCGGCUCUUUUGGCGCAUUUACUAAGAGGACUAACAUGGCCACAAAUUCAUGAGAUCAUGCAGGAGCCGUACAGUAUAACAGCAGUACAAGUUCUAUAAAAGAUCCACGACCUACUGAAGCCCAGCUAAUUAACAAAAGUUUUUAAAAACUGUAAUUUUAUCCCACCUGGGUACUUAUAAUUGACUAAGCUGCCUACACAAGUUUUAGACUUGCAAUUAUAUUUUAAACUGUCACUUGGAAAGUAUUUUAAUGAAAUUGAGCACCAAAAUUGCAUUAAAGUGAAAGUAGCUGAGAAAAAUAGUAUCCUUGUGCUCAUGGGCAGCUACAUAUAUUGUGACAAACAUGAAUUAGCUAAAAUAACUUAAAUUUUUCAUUUUGUUUCUUGUAUAUCCUUUGUACAGGGUUUGUGAAUUGUUACUGUAUAUUACUUGACUUGCUUGUAUUUUGUUACUUUGAAUACAUGUUGUGAAGGUUGCAUUAUACUUUUUAACUUUUAAAGUAGCGCCUGUUCUGUUAUGUAAGGGCCUGAUUUAUGAUAAUGGACAUAGAGGCUUUGUAAGCAUGUAUUAAACAACACUUGUUUGAUCUGAAUAAUUUGUUAAAUAAAUGUAACACAAUU